CAUCAGGGAGUUGUUCCAACGUGGAGAGAGAGAGAGAGAGAGAGAGAGGGAGAGAGAGAGAGAGACGGUGGAAAGAAGAGGUGGAAGAGUGAUUGAAACCUCAAUUCAGUAGGUGACGAGUCGGUGAAUCAAGGAGCACCGAAACCAUAGUUGUACUUUCUUUUGGAGUACGAGUUUUGCAGGCGUUGUAGAUAUCCACUGCUGAUCGUCGUGGGGUUGUACGCUUGCUUAGGGUAGCACGUCGGGAAGGCUGGACUAGUUUUGGCAAAAUUUUGUAGAUAGGGAUGUAGUUGCAGCCUAUGUUUAAAUUUGGUUUAUUGUAUAGUUUAAUGCUUUCUUAAGACUUCCGCUGUGUUUGUAAGAACGUUAAGUUUUGCGUUAUCAAUAAAAUGGUUGUUGGAUAA